rnacentral:rRNA from 1 species
AGCGAACGCUGGCGGCAGGCCUAACACAUGCAAGUCGAACGAACCUUUCGGGGUUAGUGGCGGACGGGUGAGUAACACGUGGGAACGUGCCUUUAGGUUCGGAAUAAGUCAGGGAAACUUGUGCUAAUACCGAAUGUGCCCUUCGGGGGAAAGAUUUAUCGCCUUUAGAGCGGCCCGCGUCUGAUUAGCUAGUUGGUUGAGGUAAUGGCUCACCAAGGCGACGAUCAGUAGCUGGUCUGAGAGGAUGAUCAGCCACAUUGGGACUGAGACACGGCCCAAACUCCUACGGGAGGCAGCAGUGGGGAAUCUUGCGCAAUGGGCGAAAGCCUGACGCAGCCAUGCCGCGUGAAUGAUGAAGGUCUUAGGAUUGUAAAAUUCUUUCACCGGGGACGAUAAUGACGGUACCCGGAGAAGAAGCCCCGGCUAACUUCGUG